CCCACUCAGGUCUCAAAAUAGGUUUUGCUCACUUGUGCCAUUAAAGAGAGAACAUAUUCCAAGGCAUGUCAGACUGAUCCCACCCAUAAGGGUAGUCCAGAGCCGAAAUGCCAGCAAGUUCUUUCUGCAUGAGAGAUACAGCAACCUCAGAUGAUUGUUUUGGCUUUCUUUAGGCCUUGUCAGGGAGGUGUAGCUGAUACCCCUCUAGGCUCAGUGUUUAUGUCUGGAUUACUCUUUUAACUUGGGGAGAGUCAAGUUAAUG